rnacentral:tRNA from 1 species
GGCAAGGUGGCCUAGUGGUUAGGGACUAGGGCUUGGGUCUGGAAGGUCCCUGGUUCCAAGCCUUGUCG